rnacentral:rRNA from 1 species
UACGUAGGGUGCAAGCGUUAAUCGGAAUUACUGGGCGUAAAGCGUGCGCAGGCGGUUGUGCAAGACAGAUGUGAAAUCCCCGGGCUUAACCUGGGAAUUGCAUUUGUGACUGCACGGCUAGAGUGUGUCAGAGGGGGGUAGAAUUCCACGUGUAGCAGUGAAAUGCGUAGAUAUGUGGAGGAAUACCGAUGGCGAAGGCAGCCCCCUGGGCCAAUACUGACGCUCAUGCACGAAAGCGUGGGGAGCAAACAGG